rnacentral:lncRNA from 1 species
ACGGCCUUGUCGUAAUAUUGCAAUUGGUGGAGUGAUCGAAUUUAUUGUCGACAACAUUCCUGGAACGGCCGAAUUAGAAAAUGGCGUAUAAUUUAGGGGCGAAAUGUAGUCAAGUUGCGAUCAUGGAGUCCAUUUACGCUUAUAUGAUUUACCGUUUGGAUUUACCGCAUACUACAGACAACAGCGUCGAUAAGUUUAAUAAUAACAUGUAUUUCUAUAGCGCCAUUUCCUAUAGCUCAAUGGCGCUUAAUUUUAACCGAGAUUUUAACUUUAGACUGGAUUUUGAGCAAGAUUCGCGCUCAUGCAUGCAGUUGAAUCUGACAGGAUCGUCAAUACAGAUAUAUAUAAGUUAGUUUCCACAUAAGUUAAUCCAAUGGUAUACAGCUAAUUCAAUGAAGGUUGUCCUUCCAAAAACUAGCCUGCGUAGCAGGCGGUAGAAGCUAGAAUUCCUAUAAUCUCGUGCCCGCGAAUACCGCCUGCUACGCAGGCUAUCCAAAAACGUAAACCUUAAACCACUGUGCUUAAACUCUGAGCGCGCAAGGGAUGAUGGGUUAUUGCUUAUUUAUAGACUCAUAAACUUUGAAAUUUGACUUUGCAAGAAUAACUAAGGCAUACAGAAGACUCACGACAGAAAACAUACUUGCUGCAAAGGCAAUUUUCUGAGUUUAAGGGCCUAAUAGGUGAAAACACAUCAUCCCUUGCGCGCUCAGAGUUUAAGAUUCAAGUUUUUGGAAGGAGAACCUUAACUGAAUCAGCUGAAUAUACGACGGUUAAUAGUUUAAAAUUCUAACAAAUAAUAACAAAAAAUGAGAUAAAAAAAUAGGUACGCGACCGCGUACAUGUAUCUGCGCAUUAAAGGUCCAGACACGCCGGACGCGAUUCGACAACGCGACGCGAUUUUUCGAUUUUCACUGACCGAUAACUUUGAUCCAAGUUUAAAUUUUCCAAAUAUUUAGAUGCGCUAUAACAUUUUAAGUUACUUGGUCUACAUAUGUUUCUAACUGAUUUGCUCUCAUUGGCUGUUUUUCAAACUAACUGAAAAAUCGCGUCGCGUUGUCGAAUCGCGUCCGGUGUGUCUGGACAUUAAGGCCUGAUUCCACGACGGCGAAAUUCGUCACGAGAACUUGUGUCUGCGAAAUACGGUGGUUGCACAUGAGCGAUUGUAUUGAAUUGGCCCACUUUGUCCCCUUUCGCAGUAAGUAGAAAUGUUUCGCAUUUCGCCGAGAAAAAACGCUCGUGGAAUCAGGCCUUUACUGCAUUGAUGUUGCAUUCUCGGAAUCACAUUUUUACAGCAAUUGUGCGAAAUUGUGCUAGUUGAAAUUAUAUGCCUGCUUCAGAUAUAAUAUUUACAUUUAACCAGUGACUUCUAAAUUAAGAGGACGAGAACCAUUUAUAUCCCGAAUCACGGCAACCGAUUACAAUCAUACAAAAAUGUUUCUUUUUAUCUGGAGCUAAAUAUCUGCUAUUCAUACAGUUCAUUACUUUUAAGAACAAUUUAAAGAAAAUAAUUAAUUAAGGCUAUAAAAUGUGUGGAUUCAAAGACGUGGGAUUAGACGUCUGUACAUGGAGUCAUGAGCUAAUAAUAGUUUCUGACAUUUAAAACAACAGGGCUACGUUUAUACUAUACUUUGUUUUUAUAGUUUAGCUAAGUUUUAGAGGCCUCCAUUAAAUAACAGUCAAGAUAUACACGCAAAUAUAAUUUGCUUGUCUAUAUUUAAAAUUUGUAAUUGUUUCGUGAAGAUUCAACCAUAAAACAAUUGCCGGAAAUGCAAGCCCUGAUUAUAAAAACUCAGGGAAAACCCGUGCGGUAUGAAAUGCGUGGCGUAAACAUGUCAAUCAAAUAUCAUUCUAUA